ACGAACGCUGGCGGCGUGCUUAACACAUGCAAGUCGAACGGAAAGGCCCUGCUUGCAGGGUACUCGAGUGGCGAACGGGUGAGUAACACGUGGGUGAUCUGCCCUGCGCUUCGGGAUAAGCCUGGGAAACUGGGUCUAAUACCGGAUAGGAGCCAUUUUUAGUGUGAUGGUUGGAAAGUUUUUUCGGUGUAGGAUGAGCUCGCGGCCUAUCAGCUUGUUGGUGGGGUAAUGGCCUACCAAGGCGGCGACGGGUAGCCGGCCUGAGAGGGUGGACGGCCACAUUGGGACUGAGAUACGGCCCAGACUCCUACGGGAGGCAGCAGUGGGGAAUAUUGCACAAUGGGCGCAAGCCUGAUGCAGCGACGCCGCGUGGGGGAUGACGGCCUUCGGGUUGUAAACUCCUUUCGCUAGGGACGAAGCUUUUUGUGACGGUACCUAGAUAAGAAGCACCGGCUAACUACGU
rnacentral:rRNA from 1 species